rnacentral:lncRNA from 1 species
UAUUUAAAUUAAUUUUUAAAAUAAUUCGUUAUCGAAGAUUGUUUGUUUUUUUCCCGACAUUUUCUCAGAAAAUCUUGGAUAUUAUCAACGUUGUUCAGGUAAUUAAAUGAAUUCUCGAUGCCUAGCAAAAAUCAGCGGACAGUGUCUAGCACAACAGAGGCUUCUGACAAAGAUGGUAAUUUUUCUUCUUCUUCUUCAUCAGAUUCUGAAUUUUCACUUUUUUGAUCUUCCUCGUUUUCUCUGUUCGUUAAUGAAUCAAUUAUUUCAGCUUCAUUCAGUACUUCAGUUGUCAAAACUUCAUCAUCCAUCGUGACAUAAUCUUCAAAAGUUAUAUUGUUG